rnacentral:rRNA from 1 species
AACGAACGCUGGCGGCAGGCCUAACACAUGCAAGUCGAACGAGAAGCCACCUUCGGGUGGUGGACAGUGGCAGACGGGUGAGUAACGCGUGGGAACGUGCCUUUCGGUUCGGAAUAACCCAGGGAAACUUGGGCUAAUACCGGAUACGCCCUUCGGGGGAAAGAUUCAUUGCCGAAAGAUCGGCCCGCGUCGGAUUAGCUAGUUGGUGGGGUAAUGGCUCACCAAGGCGACGAUCCGUAGCUGGUCUGAGAGGAUGACCAGCCACACUGGGACUGAGACACGGCCCAGACUCCUACGGGAGGCAGCAGUGGGGAAUAUUGGACAAUGGGCGAAAGCCUGAUCCAGCCAUGCCGCGUGGGUGAAGAAGGCCUUAGGGUUGUAAACCCCUUUCAGCGGGGAAGAUAAUGACGGUACCCGCAGAAGAAGCCCCGGCUAACUUCGUGCCAGCCGCCGCGGUAAUAC